AUUGAACGCUGGCGGCAUGCCUUACACAUGCAAGUCGAACGGUAACAGGUCUUCGGAUGCUGACGAGUGGCGAACGGGUGAGUAAUACAUCGGAACGUGCCCGAUCGUGGGGGAUAACGAGGCGAAAGCUUUGCUAAUACCGCAUACGAUCUACGGAUGAAAGCGGGGGAUCUUCGGACCUCGCGCGGACGGAGCGGCCGAUGGCAGAUUAGGUAGUUGGUGGGAUAAAAGCUUACCAGGCCGACGAUCUGUAGCUGGUCUGAGAGGAUGAUCAGCCACACUGGGACUGAGACACGGCCCAGACUCCUACGGGAGGCAGCAGUGGGGAAUUUUGGACAAUGGGCGAAAGCCUGAUCCAGCCAUGCCGCGUGCAGGAUGAAGGCCUUUGGGUUGUAAACUGCUUUUGUACGGAACGAAAAGCCUCUUUCUAAUAAAGAGGGGUCAUGACGGUACCGUAAGAAUAAGCACCGGCUAACUACGUG
rnacentral:rRNA from 1 species